rnacentral:siRNA from 1 species
UUGAUAAUGGGUGCGUUUGCG